rnacentral:rRNA from 1 species
UACGUAGGGUGCAAGCGUUGUCCGGAAUUAUUGGGCGUAAAGAGCUCGUAGGCGGUCUGUUGCGUCAGGAGUGAAAACUCGGGGCUUAACCCCGAGCCUGCUUCUGAUACGGGCAGACUAGAGGUAUGCAGGGGAGAACGGAAUUCCUGGUGUAGCGGUGAAAUGCGCAGAUAUCAGGAGGAACACCACCUGCGAAGGCAGCUCGCUGGGACGCAACUGACGCUGAGACGCGAAAGCGUGGGGAGCAAACAGG